UACAAAAAGGAAACAAAAGAAGUCCAAGACCUGAAAUGUCCGGACAUCAAAGUAAAAGGGGGAAGGGAAAAAAGUCUCAUCUCCUUCCUCAGAGUACAAACGAAGCAACCAUGGAUCGAUUGAGAGAAACGUCGAUGAGCUGGAGAGACAUCAAAGUCUUCAAAUUCAGUAUCCAACUCCACUCCAUAACCUAGAAGUUGUCGAGCUUAAGGUGUUUUCACCUAAGACAUUCCAAAUCUCACGAAUGCCAUAAAAACAAUCUUAAUGAAGACUUCUUCCACUCAACAACAGCAGAUCUGUACCAAAGCUUCAGCUGCAAGCAUGCCACUCCAAUACUUGCUUAUGCCGAGAUUUCCAACAGGAUAAGUAUUUGUUCCUCUCGAUCCAUUUCGCCCUUGUUGAUUUCCUUUUGAUUGUUUUCAUGCCCUCAUCCAUCCAUUUUUCCAGAACAAUGUUUCGCCAUCCUCCUCGACUCUCAACAGAUUAAGCUUAAAUAGCUGAUACCACUGCUUGAAAUUCAAAAAAAAUAGAAAUAAGCGAGAGAGACUACGCAGGGAGAGGAGAGACGCAAGGGAGAAAUGAUUGAAAAAGAGGAGAGAGGAAAG